AGUGAACGCUGGCGGUAGGCCUAACACAUGCAAGUCGAACGGCAGCACAGGAGAGCUUGCUCUCUGGGUGGCGAGUGGCGGACGGGUGAGGAAUACAUCGGAAUCUACCUUUCGUGGGGGAUAACGUAGGGAAACUUACGCUAAUACCGCAUACGACCUACGGGUGAAAGUGGGGGACCGCAAGGCCUCACGCGAUUAGAUGAGCCGAUGUCCGAUUAGCUAGUUGGCGGGGUAAUGGCCCACCAAGGCGACGAUCGGUAGCUGGUCUGAGAGGAUGAUCAGCCACACUGGAACUGAGACACGGUCCAGACUCCUACGGGAGGCAGCAGUGGGGAAUAUUGGACAAUGGGCGCAAGCCUGAUCCAGCCAUACCGCGUGGGUGAAGAAGGCCUUCGGGUUGUAAAGCCCUUUUGUUGGGAAAGAAAUCCUGUCGAUUAAUACUCGGUGGGGAUGACGGUACCCAAAGAAUAAGCACCGGCUAACUUCGUGCCAGCAGCCGCCGUAACAC
rnacentral:rRNA from 1 species